CCUCGUUGCGGUGCCGAAGUCCCCGGCACUGAUUACGUUUCCCGUCGAGCUGAUGAAGAAAUGCAAGCAGCAGGCCUGACCUCAGGAAAUUAAGAUUUAGCCUCACCAUUGAGGCACCAGACUCCUGACAACCCAUCCACAAGAAUUCAGUUGAUGACGACUCACAUUCCAUCGCUCCAUCCUCUGCACGUCUCCAGCCCAGAGACCAGCUCAGUUCUCUUCUUGAGUUGGUGCCAGCCACCCGGCAACAUCUGUUAAUUGACGAGAUAGAUAGAGAAAGACGAUGGAAAGAAGAAAGAGAUAAAGGGAAGGAACGAA